rnacentral:rRNA from 1 species
GACGAACGCUGGCGGCGUGCUUAACACAUGCAAGUCGAACGAUGAAGCGGGUGCUUGCACUCGUGGAUUAGUGGCGAACGGGCGAGUAACACGUGAGUAACCUGUCCUUUUCUUUGGGAUAACGGCUGGAAACGGCUGCUAAUACUGGAUAUUCAGGCUGCAUCGCAUGGUGUGGUUUGGAAAGGUUUUUUCUGGGAUUGGGUGGGCUCGCGGCCUAUCAGCUUGUUGGUGGGGUGAUGGCUUACCAAGGCUUUGACGGGUAGCCGGCCUGAGAGGGUGGUCGGUCGCAGUGGGACUGAGAUACGGCCCAGACUCCUACGGGAGGCAGCAGUGGGGAAUAUUGCACAAUGGACGAAAGUUUGAUGCAGCGACGCCGCGUGGAGGGUGUAGGCCUUCGGGUUGUGAACUCCUUUUUCUCGCGAAAAAGGCACAGUUUUGGCUGUGUUGAUGGUAGUGGGGGAAGAAGCGCCGGCUAACUACGUG